ACUGGGGUUUGCUCUUGGCGAUAAGGGGUCCCCUAUGCUAAAGAAGUUUGGAUGAUAUUCCUGGAACCUUGGGGAUAUCUUUAGUAGGUGGAUUGGAGGGGGCACCUGGAGCCCUAGGGUUCGCUAAAAGGCUGGGUUGGGGGGCGUUUCUGUAGCCUUAGUGUUCACAAUGGAAAUCCGUAUUUUUCUGGAAACUUACUGGGGUAAGGGAGAGGUGGUUUUUAGGCCUUUGAGGUGAUCUGUGAGAUUUAAAGGACAGUUGAGCCUUGGGGUUCACGCCCCCCACCAGAAUUUGGGGAGAGGGGUGUUUCUGAAAGCCUAGUAGGGGCUUUCAUGAGAGGAAGGGGUUUUGAGAGCCCUUUGGAGCCCUGGAGAGAUUCUUAGCUACUUGGAAUACCCUGUGGCUAUUUCACAGACUAUUGUUUUUUGGGAGCUAUGGAGAGGGGUGAAAUGACACUUAAGGGUCUGUCUGAGUGCUAUUUUGAAGUCAGAGACUGGGUAGUCUCUUUGGCCCGGGAACAACCUGAGGUUGUCUUACCUUAGAACUGCCCCUUCAAGGGCACUUCGAAAAGCCCUAGGGAAAUGAGAAAGGUCUAAGGACCUGAGGGUGGGAUGUUUGUCUUCGACCAAAGUAUGUUUUUAAAGUGUGCCAGAUCCCGGCUAGCGUCUGGGAGGCAGAGCUGUCUCAAAGCAGGACGCUACCCUUAACGAAGCUCCCUGUUGUUAUGGGGGGGAAAAGAGAUACAAAGGCUCAAGCCUGGUCCUCUCCCUUGGACCCUCUUGUCCCGGACUCCUCAGCCUUCUGACGCAGUUGCCCUGCAGGACUCCAGAGCCUUCUACUCCCCCAGGACUCCCAGUGUCUGCUCCCCCAUUCACCUAAGAUGGUGAGCGAUGCCGUGAGCACUCCAGCCACAAAGAUGGUCACGGUCUGCCACGUGGGUGUCCCAAAGUAGGAGAGAAGGCCAUCCUGGGGACAGGAACAGUUACUUCAGCAAUUUGACCAAGGGGCGGCCCCUAGGCUGGCACAUGAGGGGUCAGGGAGAGGUCAGAGGGCAUGCGUGGGAGAAAGCGCCUUAGAUUAGCAGGUACCAAAAAGUUAGGGUCAAAGCAUUACCAAAGAACUUCAGGGGUUCCAGAUGAAGUAGGAUCACCAGGGAGGGCAGAAGGUACUAGUCAGGACAGGAAUCAUGGGGGGCUAGGGGUCAGGAAGUCCAUGGGUACCAGACAAAUGAGGUUGGUCAGACUUAUGAGGAAACACAUUAUAGACCACCUGGUGAUCCCCAAAUGGGGAGGGGCACCGCUGUGGUACCUUGGGAGAGGCCCAGGGGUCGUCCCAGAGGAGUCAGGGAGGGGAGUUAAGAGGCCUCACCCAACCACCCUGGUCCUGGAUCCAGCCCAGCAGCCGCUCUCGAAGGAAGUCCAUUGUCCAGCCCAUGAUGGUCCUAAUCAGUUCGGGCACCUUGGUGCACAGGGCCUGCAGGGUGUGGGGUGGGCCUUAGAGCUGGAACUUAUCUCCACUACCUGGGGAGAGUGGCCCCAAACCUCCUUUCUCAACUCUGCCUCCCCUCCUGCCCCCUGCAGUUUCUUUUCCACUCCAAAUGAGCUUCAUACAUUUUAAACUAUUUCCUGU